CCUACGGGUUGCAGCAGUGGGGAAUAUUGCACAAUGGGCGCAAGCCUGAUGCAGCCAUGCCGCGUGUAUGAAGAAGGCCUUCGGGUUGUAAAGUACUUUCAGCGAGGAGGAAGGCAUUAAGGUUAAUAACCUUGGUGAUUGACGGUACUCGCAGAAGAAGCACCGGCUAACUCCGUGCCAGCAGCCGCGGUAAUACGGAGGGUGCAAGCGUUAAUCGGAAUUACUGGGCGUAAAGCGCACGCAGGCGGUCUGUCAAGUCGGAUGUGAAAUCCCCGGGCUCAACCUGGGAACUGCAUUCGAAACUGGCAGGCUAGAGUCUUGUAGAGGGGGGUAGAGUUCCAGGUGCAGCGGUGAAAUGCGUAGAGAUCUGGAGGAAUACCGGUGGCGAAGGCGACCCCCUGGACAAAGACUGACGCUCAGGUGCGAAAGCGUGGGGAGCAAACAGGAUUAGAUACCCCGGUAGUC
rnacentral:rRNA from 1 species